rnacentral:rRNA from 1 species
GAUGAACGCUGGCGGCGUGCUUAACACAUGCAAGUCGAACGAUGAAGCCCAGCUUGCUGGGUGGAUUAGUGGCGAACGGGUGAGUAACACGUGAGUAACCUGCCCUUAACUCUGGGAUAAGCCUGGGAAACUGGGCCUAAUACCGGAUAGGAGCGUCCACCGCAUGGUGGGUGUUGGAAAGAUUUAUCGGUUUUGGAUGGACUCGCGGCCUAUCAGCUUGUUGGUGAGGUAAUGGCUCACCAAGGCGACGACGGGUAGCCGGCCUGAGAGGGUGACCGGCCACACUGGGACUGAGACACGGCCCAGACUCCUACGGGAGGCAGCAGUGGGGAAUAUUGCACAAUGGGCGCAAGCCUGAUGCAGCGACGCCGCGUGAGGGAUGACGGCCUUCGGGUUGUAAACCUCUUUCAGUAGGGAAGAAGCGAAAGUGACGGUACCUGCAGAAGAAGCACCGGCUAACUACGUG